rnacentral:rRNA from 1 species
CCUACGGGAGGCUGCAGUGGGGAAUAUUGCACAAUGGGCGCAAGCCUGAUGCAGCCAUGCCGCGUGUGUGAAGAAGGCCUUCGGGUUGUAAAGCACUUUCAGCGGGGAGGAAGGCGGUGAGGUUAAUAACCUCAUCGAUUGACGUUACCCGCAGAAGAAGCACCGGCUAACUCCGUGCCAGCAGCCGCGGUAAUACGGAGGGUGCAAGCGUUAAUCGGAAUUACUGGGCGUAAAGCGCACGCAGGCGGUCUGUCAAGUCGGAUGUGAAAUCCCCGGGCUCAACCUGGGAACUGCAUUCGAAACUGGCAGGCUAGAGUCUUGUAGAGGGGGGUAGAAUUCCAGGUGUAGCGGUGAAAUGCGUAGAGAUCUGGAGGAAUACCGGUGGCGAAGGCGACCCCCUGGACAAAGACUGACGCUCAGGUGCGAAAGCGUGGGGAGCAAACAGGAUUAGAUACCCGGGUAGUC